rnacentral:rRNA from 1 species
CCUACGGGGGGCAGCAGUGGGGAAUAUUGCACAAUGGGGGAAACCCUGAUGCAGCGACGCCGCGUGAGUGAAGAAGUAUUUCGGUAUGUAAAGCUCUAUCAGCAGGGAAGAAAAUGACGGUACCUGAUUAAGAAGCCCCGGCUAACUACGUGCCAGCAGCCGCGGUAAUACGUAGGGGGCAAGCGUUAUCCGGAUUUACUGGGUGUAAAGGGAGCGUAGACGGCAGCACAAGUCUGGAGUGAAAUGCCGGGGCUUAACCCCGGAACUGCUUUGGAAACUGUGCAGCUAGAGUGCAGGAGAGGUAAGUGGAAAUCCUAGUGUAGCGGUGGAAUGCGUAGAUAUUAGGAGGAACACCAGUGGCGAAGGCGGCUUACUGGACUGUAACUGACGUUGAGGCUCGAAAGCGUGGGGAGCAAACAGGAUUAGAUACCCGGGUAGUC